UGGGAACUUCUUCUUCCUUGGGUUCUUACGUUCAAAAAAAUGUAGAGUAGGAAAGUUCUUCUUCUUCCCCCUUUAAGGGGUGUUUUGUAGAAGCUAUGCUAAGACGAGGGGGCAUUCAACGUGAAGAAAUAGAUACAACUUGGAAGUUCGUACUAAGCAGAUGCUUGCUUCCAAAUGCCUUUGUCUAGGGUAUAUAUACUUGAUAAAUAAUGAACCAUGUUAUUCUUUAUGCAUGGCCUGCAUUUGUCUUUGACUUAUUUUAGUCAAGUGACUUUUGGUCAUCUUACCCUAUUCCGGAUUUUAAGGGGAAAUUUUUUAGAGAGCCACUUCUAUAAUUAUUGUGUUAGUGAAUUUAUGUGGGCCCUAGAAAAUAUUAUUAACAUUCACAUUUUUCACCCUUGAGGGCUUUUGUAAUCGUAAUACAUCAAGGCUUUUGUAACUAUGAUAAAGUUUAGGUUGAUGUUUGAUUGAAGGCUA